rnacentral:misc_RNA from 1 species
GAUGAAGAACGCAGCGAAAUGCGAUAAGUAAUGUGAAUUGCAGAAUUCAGUGAAUCAUCGAAUCUUUGAACGCACAUUGCGCCCGCCAGUAUUCUGGCGGGCAUGCCUGUUCGAGCGUCAUUACAACCCUCAGGCCCCCGGGCCUGGCGUUGGGCAUCGGCGGAGCCCCCCGUGGGCACACGCCGCCCCCCAAAUGCAGUGGCGGUCCCGCCGCAGCUUCCAUCGCGUAGUAGCUAACACCUCGCGACUGGAGAGCGGCGCGGCCACGCCGUAAAACACCCAACUCUUCUGAAGUUGACCUCGAAUCAGGUAGGAAUACCCGCUGAACUUAAGCAUAUCAAUAAGCGGAGGA